UACAGAGGGUGCGAGCGUUGUCCGGAAUCACUGGGCGUAAAGGGCGCGUAGGUGGCGCGACAAGUCAGUGGUGAAAGCUCGACGCUCAACGUCGAGUCGGCCACUGAGACUGUUGGGCUGGAGCACUGUAGAGGCUAAUGGAAUUCCGGGUGUAGCGGUGGAAUGCGUAGAGAUCCGGAAGAACACCGGUGGCGAAGGCGGUUAGCUGGGCAGUUGCUGACACUGAGGCGCGACAGCGUGGGGAGCAAACAGG
rnacentral:rRNA from 1 species